ACCCUGCUCGUUAACCGUUGGCCAAAGAAACAGAUGACCUUAACAUCUUCUGCACUUUAGAUUGCAAGGUCCUGUAUGAACUUGAGUGUAAGAUUUCUUUUAUUCAAUCAAAAUCUUUCCCCUUUAAAAUGUUUCACUGACCUUCUGGUGUGGGCUUUGUUUUAAUACUUAAACUGAAUGGUAUCUAGAUAUGUAUAAAACCCUUAUGUGCUGAAUUUGUUUAUUAAAGUACCAUAACUCUGCAUUCCUUUGAUGAUUGACUUAAAAUGCCUCUUCAGUGAUGAAAUUAAAUAAAAAUAUAGAUCAAUACCACAACAUAAAUUAUGAAUUCAAGAUCAAUUGGUUUGGUUUGAUUGAUCCCCGACACUGAAUCUGCAAUUGUUCUCACUGGAUGAUAAAAACAAUAUUCAUUUGGACAUAAUUCAUGAGAUUUUUUUUUUAUGUUA